UCAGCCACUCUGCGACUGAGACACGGCGCAGACUCCUACGCGAGGCAGCAGUGCGGAAUUAUCCGCAAUGGGCGCAAGCCUGAGGGAGCAAGACCGCGAGGGGGAGGAAGGCUCUUGGGUUGUAAACCCCUUUUCUCAAGGAAGAACACAAUGACGGUACUGAGGAAUAAGCCUCGGCUAACUCCGUGCCAGCAGCCGCGG
rnacentral:rRNA from 1 species